GACGAACGCUGGCGGCGUGCUUAACACAUGCAAGUCGAGCGGUAAGGCCCUUUCGGGGGUACGACGAGCGGCGAACGGGUGAGUAACACGUGGGUGACCUGCCCUCCAGCUCUGGGAUAAGCCUGGGAAACCGGGUCUAAUACUGGAUAUGACUCCAUGACGCAUGUUGUGGGGUGGAAAGCCUUGUGCGGCUGAGGAUGGGCCCGCGGCCUAUCAGCUUGUUGGUGGGGGGAUGGCCUACC
rnacentral:rRNA from 1 species